rnacentral:rRNA from 1 species
CCUACGGGUGGCAGCAGUGAGGAAUAUUGGUCAAUGGGCGGAAGCCUGAACCAGCAAAGUAGCGUGCAGGAUGACGGCCCUACGGGUUGUAAACUGCUUUUAUACGGGAAUAACGCGCCUUACGUGUAGGGCUUUGCAUGUACCGUAUGAAUAAGGCCCGGCUAAUUCCGUGCCAGCAGCCGCGGUAAUACGGAAGGUCCGGGCGUUAUCCGGAUUUAUUGGGUUUAAAGGGAGCGUAGGCCGCAUGUCAAGCGUGCUGUGAAAUGUCCGGGAUCAACCCCGGCCUUGCAGCGCGAACUGGCGUGCUUGAGUGCGCGGAAAGCAGGCGGAAUUCGUCGUGUAGCGGUGAAAUGCGUAGAUAUGACGAAGAACCCCGAUUGCGAAGGCAGCUUGCUGCAGCGGAACUGACGCUGAUGCUCGAAAGCGCGGGGAUCGAACAGGAUUAGAUACCCUAGUAGUC